rnacentral:rRNA from 1 species
UAGAUCUCGUACGUGACCUGCGGAGGGACAUUACACAAAUAUGAAGGCGGGCUGGAACCUCUCGGGGUUACAGCCUUGCUGAAUUAUUCACCCUUGUCUUUUGCGUACUUCUUGUUUCCUUGGUGGGUUCGCCCACCACUAGGACAAACAUAAACCUUUUGUAAUUGCAAUCAGCGUCAGUAACAAAUUAAUAAUUACAACUUUCAACAACGGAUCUCUUGGUUCUGGCAUCGAUGAAGAACGCAGCGAAAUGCGAUAAGUAGUGUGAAUUGCAGAAUUCAGUGAAUCAUCGAAUCUUUGAACGCACAUUGCGCCCUUUGGUAUUCCAAAGGGCAUGCCUGUUCGAGCGUCAUUUGUACCCUCAAGCUUUGCUUGGUGUUGGGCGUCUUGUCUCUAGCUUUGCUGGAGACUCGCCUUAAAGUAAUUGGCAGCCGGCCUACUGGUUUCGGAGCGCAGCACAAGUCGCACUCUCUAUCAGCAAAGGUCUAGCAUCCAUUAAGCCUUUUUUUCAACUUUUGACCUCGGAUCAGGUAGGGAUACCCGCUGAACUUAA